CGUGAAGACGCUGCGUCACCGGCCGACACAGUGAGGUAAUGGCUCCACCUGACCAAUAAGGAAGGGGAGCCGGGGACGGUGGAUUUUAUUUAUAAGGAGCCCCGCGGUUAACAGCGCGCUCCCAGAGCGAGGAGAGGAGAGAGGAGCACGCGGCGGGUAAACUGAAAGAUCUCCUUCUGUCCCCCCGUCAUACUUCUCAUUGUCCCGCCUGUCCUAGCUUCCAUCUGAACCACCGUAUGGAGAAAAGCUAAUAACAGGCCACUCAUAAAAACAGCACCUCGAUCAAGGUAUGGACCAGUGUAGUUGAUGUCAUGGUCCCUGUGUCUGCCCAGCCGGCCCCGCAAAGCUACAUGUGUUUUCCUCUCUGCCUGGGCGGAGCUCACUGGCCCACACACCUGUUCGCGAUUAGCUGUCAUUACCUGUCCACUAUUUGAGGCUGGGAAGCAGAUCCUCUCAUCGCUGGAUGAUUGUGCGAAACACUUUUCCUUCCCGGACCUGUGACCUUCCUGCUGUGUGAACGUGUGUGAGUUUGGGCGUGAAGACGAGAACGAGUGUGAGAGAGCUUCCCCUUGGACCUUUUGAUCCCUGGAUUUCCCCCCUCACUGUAUACAUUCUGCACUGGUGUUGUAAAUAAACUGUGUUUGGAAACGUCAACCUGCUCUGCGCUUGAGUCCCUGCUAUCGACCGUGACAG
ensembl:lncRNA